GUGUUGUCAAUUCCAAUUCUUAGGACGUUGAAAACAUACCAAUUGACCCCUGAAACAUUUUGGUCAUCUAUUAAGAACACCUUGAACUUGCCAGUGCGGGGAACACAUGCUAUAGUAGAUCGCAAUUCAGCCCGUAGUUUUGAAAAGGGUAAAGGAGGAAUUCUAAAGCAGCACUUAAUGAUGGGGUUUACGACGUAAGUAAGUCUAAAACGAUCACAAAGCAGAAACAUGCCAUCAGAAAUGGCGACUAUCUCUCCAAAUCUGAAAGAGAGUCCCAAAUAAAUCCUUUCAGAAUGUCCCUUGACAUAGUCUUGAAUAUUCAAGAAAUAAGAAGCCCUUGUUGUAUGUAUAAUUUCAAUAUAAAUACCAGGUGGUUUACCACGUAGGCAGGCUUGAAUAGCAGUAGCCCAAGGUUUGGAUACGUGCCUUGCAGAGUUAAGCAGACACUUAAGAGGAACCAAACUAAGGAUAGCAAGCAUCAACUCUUGAGGAAGCUUUGAGAUCAGAUCAAAAUUCUUACUACUAUUUGAGUUUUGCUGAAUAUUCAUAUUCUGCUUGUUUGUUGCACGAUCAUGAUGACGUGAGUCAGAGUAAGUGCACUUAUUUAUAGAUUUAAAUCUCUGCCUUUUAACUCGACCAAUUGUCUUUUCCGUCUUCCUCCUUUUCACUUCCAAGAUUUCAACAUUACACUCUUUACCGUCUUCGACCUCUUUUUCUUUAACGUCCUCCUCCCUUUUGGUCUCAUUUUUAGGACGAGCUUUCUGUGAUAUUAAACUCAUCUUUUACAAUUGAACCUGAAAAAGAAAUAAAAGUACAACUCAGAUGAUAUAACACACCUCUAAUCCAAUAUGACAGUUGGAAACUGAAAUAUAAUAUGAGAACAGUAGACAACGGACUCGAUAGGAUAGUAUAAGACGACAACAAAUCCAACUGAUAGAACAUCAAAAUGAAUAAUGAUUGGUGAAAUCAAAUGAUGAGUAACAUAAAUAAAUAAAUAAAUACAGUCAUACGGUAAGCUUGAAUUGAAUAUUGAAUUUAUUUAUUUCAUACAUAAAUCAUCAAUAAUUUAACCAUUUGUGCAGCAAUCAGCUACAAUGAAAAUCAUUUAUACAAUAUUCAACAGAAAGAACAUAUUUUUCAGGUUGAUAACCCUCAAUUUCCAAUGCUGUUCCAUGCACAAAAUUCGACAAACCAAUCAGAAGUAACAUUAAUGAUGAGUCAGCAAAUGCCACUACAAAGGAACAGUUAUGGAACCAAGGAGCCUAGAAAGAGUAACAGGCAGAAAAUAACCAUCUCCAAAAUGCGAUGAUUAUGUGAGAGGUUGAAGUGUAUAAGUGAGGCAAAAAACUGAAAGUAGUGGUGUGGAACUUGGGCUGAAAUUCCUCUUCCAAUUUCAUCACCUGAGUUUCCCUUCUGCUUUCUUUUCUUUCUAAUAAUUCCUUGCCUUGUAAAUUGUUACUAUUUCUCCGCCUCAGAGCCGUCUUAAUGUUUUUUGAUGUCAUGUUCGAAUUUAAAAUAUUAGGCCCCUAAUAAAAAGUGUUAUGAUAUUUCAUAAUAUUAUAUUUUUAUCAAAUGAAAUACCAAAAACUCAAACUAUUUUAUUAAAAUUCAGCGAAAUAAAUAAAUUGUAAAUAACAUCUAAAUACAACUUCAGGCUCAUACUAGCCUUCUUACCAUUUAAAAAUAGCCCUUCUAACACGAAGCAAACCAAUAAUAGAUCUAAUAAUGCAGUAAUGAGUUUCAUUGUAAAUCUUAUAGAUCCAAUAAUAGAUUACCAGAAAACUAACUAUUACUACCAUUGUAAAUCACAAAAUCAAUAAUGAGUUCCUAAAUUCAAUAAUCAACCAUUUCAAAGUUUCUAAAAUCAACCUUUGCUGAUGAGAGUUGAGAGAAAUUAGGCUUAGUAUUUUUUUGGAGAGGAGAUAGAGAGAAGAUAGUCUCUGUUUAAAUGGGGUAUUUAUUUCGGACAUUUAUUUUAAGUAUAGGGUGCAAAUAUAAAAUUUUAGAACUGUCGGUGUACAAAAUUAAUGCAAUUUUCAAAGUUCAUAUAUAUUAUUACAAAAGAGAUUUGGGGCAUCCCUAUUGGGGAACUGUGCCAAUCUUUUGUAUAAUGUAACUGAUUUUUGAAGAAGAAAAAAAUCAUAGUUUUGUACAAGACCAUUCAAAAAUGUAUAUUUGCACCUUAUGCACAAAAUAAAUGUCCAGAAAAAAUAGACAAUUUGAAUAUACUAUCUUAUCAGCAUCUCUCUAAACAAAUAUCUAACUUAAUUUCUCUCGAAUCUCGUCAACAAAGAUUAGAAUCUUGAAUCUUGAUGUUAGUGUUUUAGAUUUUUGUUUAGCAACAUUUUAGAAUUGAUUUCAAUAAAACAGUAAGCUAUAUUUUCCUUCCCAUUUUAUUUCAUUUCACAUUGCAGUUACAAAUAUGAAUAAUUCACACAAUCAAACUAAACAAGACAAAUAAAUAACCAAAAUUAAGAACAGUGAAACCAAAAUUAGUCUUUUAAAAUAUAUUACACAUAUAAAAUGAAAAAUAAAACCUUCAAGACAAACCCUAAGUUAAACACAUUGAAUCCAACUUAAUAACAACAGAAAGAAAACACCAAAGACCAAAACAGAAAACGUUCAGAAACCCUAAAAAAUUCAGAACUUUAAUGGAUUCAAAAUGUCACGAUCAUAAAAUUGAAAAUAAUUUAAAAAUCGUAAAAGACUCACCCUAACCUUUUAGCUCUUACUCACCGUGAUGACGACCUUCCAACACAUAAUAUAAUGGCAUGCUCAGUAGAUUCAGUUGAAAAAAUGAAGUUACUUAAUCAAACCCAGAUCUAAGAGAGAUGAAAAAUCUAACAAAAAAACUUAUUAUGCUUCGAAUAAGUAAAAACAAGUGUUAAAAAACUAAAUCAGAUCAUGUUGCAUGUACCUAUGUGCGUUUGCGAAGCAUCUUUACUCCAAAGAGAAACGACCGAACCGGUGGUUGAGGUUUGAAACAUAAACAAAAGAUGUUUGUCUAGAGAAAGAGAAAUUGUACCAAAUACAUAGUGUUUCUCUCUCCACUCACAACACAACUUUCACACGCGCAUUUUAUUAUUACCAACCACAAAUUAGGUUUUUUUAUUUAUAUAUUAGCAUUUUUUUUUUACAUUAAAAUGCUCUACUUGCAAUUAAUAUUACCUCAUUCAUCAAAGAACGACCAUUUGAAAAGAAAGAAUUUUUUUUUUAGAAAAAUUUGUCUUCUACCUUCAAAAAAAAAUUUAAAAUACCAAAAAUACCUUCAAUUUUUUUUUUACUAUUUUACCCAAUAAAAAGUUAAAAAAAUUUCACUAUUUUCUAAUUUUCGGAGCAGUAAAAAAGAUUUUUCGUAGGUUCUAAUUUUCCGGUAACUUUCAGAAAACUUUAAAUAAGAUUUCUGUUACACAGUAUAUUUCCAGAAAAGUUUUCUUAAGUUUUCCGGUACAUAAGGUAAAUUCCGGAAAACUUAAUAAACAGUUUUCGGUAAAGAAAGGGAAAAUUGUGUACUGAAAAACUUAAUUGUCGAGUUUUGUACUCUGGAAAUCUUCAUACACAAGUUUUCUGGUACAUAACUAUAUUUUGAAAUUAAUUCUUUCAUUUUUUUGAAUUUUAUUAAUUUUUUUUUAAAUGUUAACAAAUAUGGAUAAACCGUUACUAUUAAUGGAUACAAGAUGCGUCGAUACUACAAUAUUUUUGACGCAUACCAGAUAUGAAUAAAUAUAAUUAAUAUUAAUAUUAUAAAAAUAUAUUAUGGCGAUUAAUUAUAAUUUAUUUUACUUCAGAUAUUUGAUACAAGGGACGCUUGUGUGAAUUAGGCAAAAGAAAUCGAUAUAAAAAAAAAAAAAAAUAACUGUUAUUAUCAGAAAAAAGAUCAGAUAUAGAGACAAGAGAGAAAGGAAGGAGAAAUAAUGAAUACUAAAAUAAGUAAAUAACAUCUAAAUACAACUUCAAGUUAAUAGUAAUUUUCUUGCUAUUUAAAAAGAGUUAUUCUUUUAACACGAAACAAAUCAAUAAUAGAUUUAAUAAUAAUGAAGUAAUGAAUUCUAUUGUAAAUCUAAUAGAUCCAAUAAUAGAUUACCAAAAAAUAUAUUCUAACAUUUGUUAAUGGAGAAAUUAGAUUUAAUAUUUAUUUAAAGAGAAUAUAGAGAGGAGAUAGCCUCCUUUUCAACUGAAUAUUUAUUUUGUAUAUUUAAUCUGAAUGCAAAUAUAAAGAAAUAAUUAAUCUGGACAUUAAUUCAUUUCACAUUUCAGUUACAAAUAUGAAGAAUUCACACAAGCGAACUAAAUAAGAUAAAGAAAUAACCAAAAUUAAGAACGGUGAACACUAAGAAACAAUCCCUGAAUAUGAAGUCACUUAAACUAAAAUACCAAAAUACUGAUUUCGAAAAUAAUUAAUACCUAUAUCAAGUGUGAACAACCUCUAAUUAUUUAUUCUAAUUAUAAUAAAACUUAAAUUAAAAAAAUAAAUAAUUAAAGUUUUACUGUGUGAAUUUUUUAUUUGUAAUUUUUCUACUGUGCAAAUUACAUAUAAAUUUUUGUAAAAAAAAAAUAUCAAACAAGUCGUCAAUCUUGCAUCAUAUCUUUGAAUUUGACUAUGGUGGUGAAAUCCAUAGAUAAAAGCAAUAACUAAAAGAAUAAAAGCAAAAUCAAUUUUGUUGAAAACAUUUGUUAAAUGAAAACCAGUAAGCAUCGAUUCAAUUGAUUCAAUUAUUUCAAGAUGAUUAAGAGUUACUUUUAAAGUAAUGCAAAAGCAAUAACUAAACUAGUGCAUAAAAGCAUCAAUUAAGCUUAAAUAUAGUUAAAUAAUACAAUAGAAAGUUAUUAAGAUGCAAUCAUGCAAAAUAGGUGAGCAAAUCACUAUAAAAGCAUCAAGUGAGUUUCAUACAGUUAGCCGUGCACCAAUUACCAAAUUCCAAUAGUAUUUUCAAGAUACUAAAUGCAUAAAUAACAUACAAGUUUCAUAAUAAUGCUAAUACAACAAACAAAAUGCAUGGUCCAAAACAGAAUAAAUUAGGUGAGCAAAUUCAAUUGUAACCUGAAGAGUUAUAUUAAAGCAAUGAAGAUAAAGCAGCAUUCCACAAAUUUAUAUCACUCACUGGAACACAAGUAAUCAGCUGAAACUCAUUCUGGCAAAGUGGGCAGAGAUUAGUGAUGGUUGCCCAGUUGUCAAUGCAGGCAAAGCAGAACCUGUGAAACAAAUGAACCAUGCUAAAAAUAUCAUAUUCCUAUUUCAACAUGAACACUGAAAAAGAAGGAAAGAAAAAGCAGCAUUUACUGAGAACUGGUAGAGAAAACACUUAAAACGUAACAUAACAGACUGGAUAUGAAUACUAAUAGAGUCCCUAAUACAUGCGCAAAGGAAGUCCCCCCAAACAUACAGAGAAAGUUAUUCUUCUUAAAGGUCUUUUAACACAAUCCAAUUUGAGGAAGAAUUACACCAAGUAGUUUGAAGGGGCUAACAACAGUAGUUUUUGCUGAGAGAGUAAACUACCAAUGAUCAAAUACAUAAUAAACAAGAUAUUAGUCUACAACGUAUUUAUAAAGUGGCCCAUGACAUAUUUUGUUUAAUUUAAUUGUAUAUUUUUUCUUUGUUUCACCAUUAAAAAAAUAAAAAAAUUAUUUCUUCAUUUUGUUACCUAUGUGAUAUAGAGACAAAGACUCUAACUCCGUUAUAUUAAAUUUAUGCAUCUAUAUAAAUUAAUUGUUCUCAGUCAUCAAUUUAAGAUUUAUUAAUUUACAUUAUAACUUUUUUAAAUCAUAUUUUAAAUAAUUUAUAUUUUUAAUUUGAUAUCAGAUAAUUAAAAUUAAUAAGCAUAUAUAUUAUAUAUAUUUAUUGCCUGAAACUCGAGUAAAAAAAAUGAUAACCCAUGAAUUGAGAUUUUUGAACAAAAAUAUCUUUAUAAAAAUAUAAAAAGUUAAAAACUAUAAAUUGGUGUUUUUAUUUUUUUAUAAAUUAUUUUAAAUAUUAGAGAAUAAUACUUUAAACACUACUAAUGGUUUAAUAUUUUUAAAACCAGCUUUAAGGAUAUAGUUGGAUGAGUCAAAAACAGGUAUAGUCGGCGGGUGGCUUAGUGAGAAGUCAAAUAUAGGACAGCCAAAUUUAAUUAGGCACUAGCCGCCGGAAUUGAAAAAGUCCCGUUAUUUUUUUUCUACCUUUUUAGUUGGCUACCAUAAGAAUUUAUUUUAUAUAUAUAUAUAUAUAUAUAUAUAUAUAAUUUAGUCGAUUACAACAAUUUAAUUAUUGUAAAUAUUUAAUUUUUAUUAUAAUAAUUUUUAAAAUCACAUGUAUAAAUAAUUGUAAUAUGUUAGUAUUUAAAAUUAUUUACAUUGAUUAUUAUAUGAAAUGUCAUUAUUUUAUAUAAUUAAAGGUGAGCGGAAAGAGUUUAUAGCUUAAUUUACUUAGUUUUAAUUUAAAAAGUUAAAAUAUAAAACUACUAAAAAACAUUUCAGGCUUAAUGACCAUCCUAAUAGGGAUAUAAAAUUAUAAAAUAUAAUAAAUGAUAUUAUGAAAUUAAAAAAAUGUAUUUAUAAAUUAAAACAAUGAAAAAACUGUUGUGACGUCAUUUUUACAUGUUAUUGCUAAUACAUAAUCAUAAUAUCAUAAAAAAACGGUUCAAUCACUAGAAUUGAAGGAGAUUAUAAAAUUUCAUAACAUUUUAUAAAAUUUGAAUUUAAAAUUAAAUUUAAACAAAAUACAAAAUAAAAAAUACAUUAAAUUUUUAUAAUUUUAAAGAUGUACUUAACCAUUCAAUAAAAAAUCAUAAAGCUACUCUUUAAAAACUUACAAAUUUCGAGCUAACAAUACUCUUGUUUACUUGUUAUUUUAAUUGUAAACUUGCGUGUUUGUUUUUUUUUAUUUGAAAUAGGAACCAUUUUCAUUACAAAAGGAAUAUAUCCUUACAAAUCAACUGGAAGAGUUCUUAUAUUUGAUUGUAAAGUAUAGAUAGAGAUAUCCGGGUUUUGUUUUUCAGUACUCUUUAUUUUAAUUCUUUAUUUAUGAAUUUACUCUUUUUAAAAGAAAAUUAUAUAUUAAAUUAUUUUAUUUCCUUUUUUAGUUAUAAGUCAUUUUUUUAGAUAGCGACUUAUUAAGUUUACAAAGACGACUUUUCAAAUUAAUAAAAUAUACAUAUAUAUAUAUAUAUAUAUAUAUAAUUUGUUCAUAAAAAAACAACAUAAAAUUUAAAUUAAUUUAAAUUAUGCAUAAUAUUUAAGUAAUGUUUUUGAGUUUGACUAAUUAACUGAUAUAAUAUAUAUUUUUUGACAUUUUUUUCUAAUAAUCGAAUAUUAUCAUCGGUAUAUUUUAAUUACGAAUUAUGUCGGUUAAUCAGUCAUAUUAAAAAAUAUUAUUUAAAUGUUAUAUACAACUUUAAUUAAUUUUCUUAAUUUGACAUUUUUAUUGUUGUUUUUUAUAAAUAAAUUAUAUGUAUAAUAUAAUAUAAUAUAAUAUAAUAUAAUUUUCGUUAAUUUAAAAAAAAAUUAAUAAUCUCUUAAAAAAGUCGUUAUUUAUAAAAAUACUUAUAAAUAUAAUAAAAAAAUAUUUUAGUAUAUAAUUUUUUUUAAAAUAAUUUAAUAAGUUUUUUUUUAAUUGAGUCUAUGAAAAAAUAAUCUUAGAUAUUCUUUUUUUUUUUUACGAUAAAAAUAAUAUCCUUAAGAUUGAAUACAAACAUAGGAAAAAUAAUAUUAAUUAACAAUAAUUUAUUAUUAAUAAUAUUAAUAUGAAAAAUAAUAUUUUAAAAAAAUAUAUAUUCAAAAAUAAGUUUUAUGAAAAUUUUCUAAAAAUAAUUUAUUAUUUUUUUUUGAAAAUUUAUUAUUUAAAUAAAGAAAUUAUUAAAAAUAGUUAAAAUAUUAAAAAUUAAAAUUAUUUAAAAAAAAUGUUAUAACAAAAAGUACUAUAAAAAUUAUUUUAAGAAAAAUCUAAAACAUACAAAUUCAUUGUAUUUAAACAAACUUUCAAAUCAUAGUAAUUUACAAAUUUUAUUAAUUUAUUAAAGAUGUAAACGUAAGUUAUACUCCACCGUGUAUAUAUAGAGUUUGGGUGUGAGUCCAUAAUAGAAACACACACGGUGUAUUGUUAAGAAAAAUUAAUGAAGAUGAAGUUGGCAAUCCAAUUUCCAAUACUAAUAGUAAUAGUAUUAGUAGGAUGGUGUUGGGCGGAGCAAUGUGGAAAACAAGCUGGUGGUGCGUUGUGCCCCGGUGGAUUAUGCUGCAGCAAAUUUGGUUGGUGUGGUUCAACCAGUGACUAUUGCGGUGAUGGUUGCCAGAGUCAAUGUGGAAGCGGUGGUGGUGGUGUUGGUAGCAUCAUAUCGAGGGACACCUUCAACCAGAUGCUGAAGCAUCGAGACGAUAGUGGUUGUGAGGGGAAAGGAUUCUACACCUACGAAGCUUUCAUUGCAGCUGCUAAGUAUUUCCCUGAUUUGGGUAAUAACGGAGAUACUGCAACUAAGAAAAGAGAGAUUGCGGCUUUCUUGGGACAAACAUCUCACGAAACGACAGGUGGAUGGUCAAGUGCACCUGAUGGUCCAUACGCUUGGGGAUAUUGCUUUUUGAGAGAACAGAACCCAAGUACAUACUGUCAACCAAGCUCUGAAUACCCAUGUGCUUCUGGUAAGCAAUACUACGGUCGUGGUCCAAUACAGUUAUCUUGGAAUUAUAACUACGGACAGUGUGGUAGAGCAAUUGGUGUUGAUUUGCUUAAUAACCCAGACCUUGUUGCUACCGACCCUGUUAUUUCCUUCAAGACCGCUAUAUGGUUCUGGAUGACCCCACAGUCACCCAAGCCAUCCUGUCAUGAUGUUAUCACCGGACGAUGGAAUCCUUCUACUUCUGAUCGUGCGGCUGGUAGGCUUCCUGGUUAUGGUACUGUUACCAACAUCAUUAACGGUGGACUUGAAUGCGGUAGAGGACAUGAUAGCAGAGUUCAAGAUCGGAUCGGUUUUUACAAGAGAUACUGUGACAUCUUUGGUAUUGUUUACGGAGAUAACAUUGACUGUGCUUCUCAAACACCAUUUGCUUCUUCUCUAUCCUUCUCAUCAUUGCUGCUCCAAUCCAAACCAUCCACACCUAGUCAGUAGUCAACUCAACCACUCGUCUAUUAUAAAAUAAAUAAAUACGUACCAUGUAUGUUGAUUGUUCACGUCACAUGUAUCAAUGCACCUAUACCUACUUUGAAAAUUUCAGAAACAUUAUCCUUAUCUUUUUAUAAAAGAUGAUGAUUCACCAUUCACGCACGCACCUUAUAAAAAACUAGUACUAGAAGCCGCCGAGCCUGUGAUACAUUUUUUCUUUCUUUUUGUUUGAAAUGGCGAGGUAUAGCACUCUUUAUUCAACUGGUUGCACAAGUUAUCCAUAUUUGAAAACCAAAAACAGUUGAAUAAAAAACAUAAGACUAGUUCUACUCAAUUGCUCUGUGUUCCAAAAUCAAAACUAACUUUUUGGCUUAAUUUUUAUACGCUGCCUUAUAAAAUGUUUUACAUAAUUAAAAAAUUUCAACUAAUAUUUUUCUGUAAGUAUAUUAUAUUUAAUAAAUGUGAUUUUACUGUUAAACUCUUUAAAAUUAAAAAAUAAAAAUAAAACUUAAAUUUAUUAGUAAUCAAAUGUGUGAAAAUCUUCAUUUACAAUAUUUUGAAUUAAAUUCUUGAGUCAUUUCUAAUCAAUUAGUUCUACUCAAUUAUUGACGUUGAUUACUGGUUAUACGUAUUGAUUGUUUCAUCUGAUUAAUUCAUUCGAUUAUAAAUGUUAUUCUUUUUGUAGUAUUGAUUUUUACAAAUAAUUUUAAAUUUAAUUUUUAUAUAACAAAGUUAAGUAUUUGAAUAGUUGUAAGUAUUAAUUUACGAUAAAUUUAUCAACUAUUUCUAUACGACAAUGUUAUCUAUCAAAGUCGCUAUUUUCUUGCAUAUGUUUUCUAUUUUUACUUCUUUUCUUUAUGUGUCGUGUAGACGAACGUCACUCUCUUGUUAAAAUUAUACAUUUACAUUUCUUGAACUUCGAUUUAAGAUCUAUCAAUUUACAUUACAAUCUUUCCAAAUAAUUUUUUAAAUAAUUUAUAUCUUUCAUUUGAUGAGUCGGGAUUAAUAAAUUUGUCAUCUAUUUAUUGUAUGAAACUCAAAUAUAAUUAAUAUAUAAACUAAUUUAUUCCUAUUUUGGUUUUAUUUACUUUAUAUUAGAAGAAUUUAAAUCAAAUAUACAUUAUAUAUUUUAGAGAUCAAUUUCAAAUAGACAAAAUUGUAAAUACACUUUUAAGUUUAACUUAUUUUUUAAAUUUAUUUUUUAAUAUUUAUUAAAUUUGUCAGUUGUUUAGAAUAUGACAUUUGAAAGCGUCUCUAAAUUUGAGAAUAUUUGAUGAAUCAAAGAGAUAAAGUUAUAAGAGUUAUCUUAAAUGGAGUCUCUAUGAAUGUGUAGUUGAAAAAUAUCACCUACAUGUGAGAUAAGCAUCCAAUACGAUUUCAAACAUCUUGGUUCAAAUUGUUGCUUUCGUGACUAGAGUACUAUCGUCAUAACAAGAUGGAUAAUGAAUUUCUUGCCAAUAAUAUGACGUUUUAUAUCGAAAAAGAAAUAACUAAAAACUUUAAUUCUGAUUCAAUUAUUAAUAAUUUCAAGAUUUUAAGGGAACGAAGUGCACAACUUUAAUUCAAUGUAAAUGUUUCUUUUCACAUAUUAUAUUUUUAUUUUGUAUUGAUGUGUUAUGUUGAAUUUUUGAUAAAAUUAUAUAACUUUUAUGAAUUUUAAUUAUAAUAUUUUUGUUAAUAUUUAUCGCUUCCCUUAGUAUUUUAUGCAAGAUCUGCCACUGAAAAUCAAAAUCACAGUCAAAAAUUAUUUUUAUGUUCAAAUAGUCAUUAUAAUUUACAAAUCGACAGACACUAAAAAAAGUAAUAUAUUUGUCCAAAAGGAAAAAGUAAUAUAUGGACUAAAGCAGGAUAAUAAAAUUAAUAAUUUAACAAAAGAUAUUAUACUUUCAAAAUUUGGUGAAUCUAAAUUCAAAUCUCCAUUGAAACGACUCAUAUAGAGGGAAGAGAAAAAAAAAAGCUAAAUAGCGCAGGUCCCUUAACUUAAUUUCAGUUAACGGUUUAGUCUUUUAUCUUUUUUUUUUAUUUGGUCCUUUAUUUUAAUUUUAAGUGACAAUUUGAUUUUUUAUGUUUUAAAAUAUCAACAAUGUUAUCUUUUUUUUUUUUACAAAAAUUCAAAAAAUGCAUCAAAAUUUUCAAACAAAACCCAUAAAAUUAAUUACUUCAAUAUAAUGUAAAUUUUAUCAAAUCCAUACCUUAAAUUUUUAAAUAAACUCAUAUUUUCAUUAUUUAUUUAAUGAAUUUGAUGUUGUUGUAAAUUAAAAUAUGAGUUUAUUUGAAUAUUUAAGUUAUGCAUUUGAUGAAAUUUGCAUUAUAUUGAAGAUAAUAAUUAAUUUUAUGGGUUUUGUUUGAAAAUUUUAAUGAAUUUUUCGUAAAAAAAAAGGAUAAUAUUAUUGAUAUUUAAAAACAUAAAAGAUCAAAUUGUCACUUAAAAUUAAAAUAAACAACUAAAUCAAGAAGAAAAAAAAAACUAAAACGUUAACCAAAAUUAAAUUAAGGGAUCGCAUAUGUUAUAUAUAUUUAAAAUUAUAUAAUUUACAUAUUUAUUUUUAUUUAUACAUAUUAUAAUUAUUAUUGAUUAAAGCUUAAAGUUCGCACCUCUAAAUUUAGGUCUUGGAUCCAUUGCUGCAUUUUGUAAAAAUCAUUAACCAUCCAACAUAAUUACCAUAACAAAUACACACACAAAUUCAUUAUUCAGUAAACACAAUAUACAAAUCUAUCUUAAAACACAAUAAUAAUACAAAAUGAAAAACACAAUUAAUUUAAUUAUUUAAUAUUGAAUUAUUGAAUCAUCAAAAUUAUAAUUUAUAAGUUAUAGUUAAUCUAAUCAGUUUAUAUUGAACCGUUGAAAUAUCAAAAUUAGAAUAUAUAAAUUAUAGUUAUUCUAACUGAAGUAGUAAUAGCAAUUACAAGGAAGGAGGUUUGGAUUGUGAUCUCUUUUUGAAAUUUUUUAUUUAUAUAAUUAAUUUAAAUUAACUCAAGAUCAAUCUUGAAUUCAACAUAAAUUCUAAAACGUUAUAGAUAUGUUAAAAGUAAAUAAAACAUAAUGAUAAUGAAAUAGGAAGCAAUGCUUCUAAAAAUAGGUUGGCUAUUAUCACCAUAAACAAUGCUUCUAUUUUUAUGGGUAGAGAUUUAGAUUGCUUUUGAAAAAUUGUGGAUAAUUUAACUCAGAGCCUAUAAAAAUUUGCCAAAGUAAAUUUCAGUGGUAUAUGCAAAUUCACAUAUGUGCUUAAUUUUUAUUGAAUAACGGAUAAAUUAUCAUAAUUUUUCAAAGAGAAUCAUGAUUUUUUUUUUUAAAUGUAUAGUAAAUCAAUAAUCAAAUAUGUAUGAUAUUCAUGGGUAGGGUAAACAAGUUAUAAUAAUAAUAAUAAUAAUAAUAAUAAUAAUAAUAAUAAUAAUAAUAAUAAUAAUAAUUCAAGAAGAAAAAAAAAACUAAAACGUUAACCAAAAUUAAGUUAAGGAAUCGCAUAUGUUAUAUAUAUAUAUAUAUAUAUAUAUAUAUAUAUAAAGGGAUAUGUCUACCGCAAGAAAGAAAAUAGCAACACCAAAAUGAUAAAGUAUAAAUAAUAGCAGUCGGGGCAAACAAGAUUUGGUAACAUAAUAGAAGCCUUGAUGAAUUGAGUAUAUCAUGGAUUUGAUCUAAAUAAAGAUGACGAAUGAUUCACCAUUCAAACCACCAUAUAAAAACUAGUACUAGUAGCCGCCGGGCCUAUGAUGCGUUUUUUCUUUCUUUUUAUUUGAAAUGGCGAGGUAUAGCGCUCUUUAUUCAACUUCCAUUUUUGGUUGCACAAAGUUGAAUAAAAAACAAAAGACUAGUCCUACUCAAUUAUUCCGUCUUCCAAAAUCAAUACUAACUUUUUGGCUUAAUUUUAUACCUUGCCUUAUAAAAUGUUUUACAUAAUUACAAAAUUUCAACUAAUCUUAUUCUAAGUAUAUUAUAUUUUGUAGAUGUGAAUUUUACCAUUAAAGUUUAGCAUGCGUGAAUUUGAUCGUCAAACUCUUUAGAAUUAAAAAAUAAAAAUAAAAUUUAAAUUAUUGAGUAAUUUCUAAAUGUGUAAUAAGCUUAGCAUUUAUAUAUAUAUAUAUAUAUAUAUAUAUAUUUAAUAUUAUCGCAAUUGACUUUUAAAUUUACAAUAAUUAAACUUAUUAGGGAUGUGAGAGUUACAAAAUAGUUUAGAGAAGGUAAAGUGACGCGUUUACAGUUUAACUUCUCAUUUUAACAAAAUUAAUAACCAAUUACGAAAUGGACUAUUUAAAAAAAAAAAUCUUAUUUGAGAGAGUCUAACAUCAAAUGUUUGUCAAAUAUAUUUUAUCAAUCUUUCAUUGAUGAACACUCCGAUAUAUUUUCAAUUGAGAAUGCACUAGUACAUGUCGAAAGAUUUAGUUACCCAUACAUAACCACAAAGCUAAAUUAUUUGUUGUAUAUGUUAUUGGCAAAUUUAAUAUAUAUUAUAUUGAUUCCAUUUUUUGUUGCAAAUAAAUUAUAAAAUUUAGUAGUAUAUUUUAAAAUUAUAUAAUUUACAUAUUUAUUUUUAUUUAUACAUAUUAUAAUUAUUAUUGAUUAAAGCUUAAAGUUCGCACCUCUAAAUUUAGGUCUUGGAUCCAUUGCUGCAUUUUGUAAAAAUCAUUAACCAUCCAACAUAAUUACCAUAACAAAUACACACACAAAUUCAUUAUUCAGUAAACACAAUAUACAAAUCUAUCUUAAAACACAAUAAUAAUACAAAAUGAAAAACACAAUUAAUUUAAUUAUUUAAUAUUGAAUUAUUGAAUCAUCAAAAUUAUAAUUUAUAAGUUAUAGUUAAUCUAAUCAGUUUAUAUUGAACCGUUGAAAUAUCAAAAUUAGAAUAUAUAAAUUAUAGUUAUUCUAACUGAAGUAGUAAUAGCAAUUACAAGGAAGGAGGUUUGGAUUGUGAUCUCUUUUUGAAAUUUUUUAUUUAUAUAAUUAAUUUAAAUUAACUCAAGAUCAAUCUUGAAUUCAACAUAAAUUCUAAAACGUUAUAGAUAUGUUAAAAGUAAAUAAAACAUAAUGAUAAUGAAAUAGGAAGCAAUGCUUCUAAAAAUAGGUUGGCUAUUAUCACCAUAAACAAUGCUUCUAUUUUUAUGGGUAGAGAUUUAGAUUGCUUUUGAAAAAUUGUGGAUAAUUUAACUCAGAGCCUAUAAAAAUUUGCCAAAGUAAAUUUCAGUGGUAUAUGCAAAUUCACAUAUGUGCUUAAUUUUUAUUGAAUAACGGAUAAAUUAUCAUAAUUUUUCAAAGAGAAUCAUGAUUUUUUUUUUAAAUGUAUAGUAAAUCAAUAAUCAAAUAUGUAUGAUAUUCAUGGGUAGGGUAAACAAGUUAUAAUAAUAAUAAUAAUAAUAAUAAUAAUAAUAAUAAUAAUAAUAAUAAUAAUAAUAAUAAUAAUAAUAAUAAUAAUAAUGAAAUAUGAAUGUUCCUAAAUAUUCAUUCUUUUUUCCUUGUUUUGGCCAAGCAGGACAAAUAUAAAUAUAAAUACUUCUACAUAGGCAUACAUUGGAGUACUUAGCAACGAGUUAGAGUUGGGGUAUGAAGCCAUGCCUUGAAAUCGCCUAUUGGAAUGAAAUCAAUCUUUGCCACUUGUCUUGUUUUGAUAUUGUAACAAAAGUGUACAUGUGUCGCUAAUCCUGUUGGACCCGAAAUAGAUUUUGGAACAAACAUUACCAUAAAGAUAAUUUGGUCGUUGAUCCAAAACCGAAAAAUCAUAGACGUUGCCAUUAUAUUAAAAUCAAAACCAAGCAUAUGGCUGCAAAUACCCGCAUUAUGAAAAGGUCUAAUCUCAUGAUAAAGAGUCCAUUUUCCUGAAUCCAUAUCCAAAGUAUAGAUUUGAUAUGUUCUACUGUCUUUUUCAUCCAUAAAGAAAGAAAGACAAUCUCCCGUCCAUAAAUAAACUGGAAGUGGAAAAGUAUCCACUGGUUGAGGGGGGAGUGGAUAUUCUCUUAUAAUAAUUUCCUUGUCAACAUCCAUCACAAUCACUCCUUCCUCUGUUAUCCAAUAAAUAUCAUUGUCUCCAUUAUGAACUGGUUUCCAUGCUAAAAGACCCGUGUAAUUCAACAACUUAACUUCUUUUCUAACUAUCUCUUUCCAUGUGUUGUCAAUUCCAAUUCUUAGGACGUUGAAAACAUACCAAUUGACCCCUGAAACAUUUUGGUCAUCUAUUAAGAACACCUUGAACUUGCCAGUGCGGGGAACACAUGCUAUAGUAGAUCGCAAUUGAGCCUGUAGUUUUGAAAGGGGUAAAGGAGUAUUAAGAACACCUUGAACUUGCCAGUGCGGGGAACACAUGCUAUAGUAGAUCGGAAUUGAGCGUGUAGUUUUGAAAGGGGUAAAGGAGGAAUUCUAAAGCAGCACUUAAUGAUGGGGUUUACGACGUAAGUAAGUCUAAAACGAUCACAAAGCAGAAACAUGCCAUCAGAAAUGGCGACUAUCUCUCCAAAUCUCCAAGAGAGUCCCAAAUAAAUCCUUUCAGAAUGUCCCUUGACAUAGUCUUGAAUAUUCAAGAAAUAAGAAGCCUCUGUUGCAUGUAUAAUUUCAAUAUAAAUACCAGGUGGUUUACCACGUAGGCAGGCUUGAAUAGCAGUAGC
rnacentral:lncRNA from 1 species